GUCUACGGCCAUUCCACCCUGAACGCGCCCAAUCUCUUCUGAUCUCAGAAGCUAAGCAGGGUCAGGCCUGGUUAGUACUUGGAUGGGAGAAAGACUGGGUCGUAACUU
rnacentral:rRNA from 1 species